CACAUCGCGUUCGCUUGCUGAGUGCAGGACAGGGAGCUGAAAGUGGAUAUGAAGCAGUGCUACUGGGCUAGUAGCAGAAACCAGUCACACACAGGAUGAAUUUCCCUCUACCUGGAUGUCCGACUUGUGAUGUGAACCUCCCCCACUCCGAUGUUACAAAGAGACCCUUCAGGUGAGAUGCUGGAGCCCAACCGCCCAGAUGUUACACGGGGUAGCCCUUCCAAGCCUAAGGAACCCUCUCCAGUGUAAAGAUAUGCUAAAGUCCUCCCUCUACCAUGAAGGUCUACUUCUGAUGUGAACCUCCCCCACUGCAGUGUUACCAAGAGACCCUUCAGGUUUUCCCUGGAUUUUACCUCCAUGAACUUGAACCCCAUAAAGUGGACAGUGGAGCUAAGACCCUCACCCACGCUACCAUCCCGGCCUACCUCAAGACUUUCAAUGCCCCCACAUCCCUUAAAUGCCCACUUUUAAAUUAUAUUUACAAUAUCUAAAAGAAAAAAUACAAAACUUCUCAAUUUUACAUUUUAUUGAGGAAAAU